UACGUAGGGGGCAAGCGUUGUCCGGAUUUAUUGGGCGUCAAGAGCGUGUAGGCGGUUUUGCAAGUCCGUUGUGAAAACUCGAGGCUCAACCUCGAGACGCCGGUGGAAACUGCAAAGCUAGAGUCCGGAAGAGGAGAGUGGAAUUCCUGGUGUAGCGGUGAAAUGCGCAGAUAUCAGGAAGAACACCCGUGGCGAAGGCGGCUCUCUGGGACGGUACUGACGCUGAGACGCGAAAGCGUGGGGAGCGAACAGG
rnacentral:rRNA from 1 species